UUAUAAGCGGCCGCCAGAGCCAUUCGCGCCCUUUCGUGCUCAGGCUGAGGCGGCGACUGAGGCGGCGACUGAGGUGCAGCAAAAUGUUGACUUGAAGCAAAGAAGUUUGGUAUUUCCAGAGAAAUGGGACACCUUUAGCAUGGGGAGCAGGCAGCUCCCUGAAAAUGGCACUAAUGUGAAGAUGUAAUGGCUCUUUACAAGUCGUGUCGAAGGAAGUGAAAAUGCAAGAGCAGGAGAUUCUUCUGGGUGUUCAUGCUGUGAAAGCUUGCUUGUCUGAGGAGGAAGAAAUCCACUAAAAUACGCAAGUGACCAAGGGAGUAGUCAUCAUAAACUCGCAUAUUUUCCUGUCCUAAGACUUUAAGAAAUAUUAAAAAUUAUCCUGUUGUGUGUAUAUUAAAAUUAUCAAAACACGUUA